rnacentral:lncRNA from 1 species
CCCCAUUGGAACGCAUUGAAAAUCAUAGUAAAUACAUAGGGUCCUGUUCAAUAAAUAAUUUUGAUAGCCACCUUGGGACUUCUGGUUCAUGUUAGGCAUUCAUUUUGAAGUGUCUAAGUACAAUCUCAGUGCCUCAUGACCGGCAUUCCGUUGCAAAAUUUUGUUUUUAUUGACAACAGGGUCAGUCUGUCUACUUCCGGGAAAGAAUAAAGGCUAGAAUUUAGGCAAUUUACUCUAUGUACUGACGCCAGAUUACAUUUAAAUCAAUCAAAAUUUUUACAGAAAUUCAAACUAGAAAGCCUACCCUUUCAAAUAAAUCUACAUUCAGUUACAGAACUAGUGAAAUAAUAACACUACACAAUUUAUAACAAAAGUUAUAUAUUUUUUUUAAGAACUACAUUCGUGGGUACCGGACUGGUUGCCCUAACUGGGAUCCUAUUCCUGUCAGACUUUAUUUUUUUUCCCAGACUUAAAACUGCACUUUUAAAAUAAAGAUAUACAUCUCAGUAGUU